rnacentral:sRNA from 1 species
GCCAUGCCGUUGCCCUGCAGAGGUGACUCGCUACUACCUGUAUUGCAGCCAGAGUGGAAGCAGCCCCUUCCAGCAGACCCUGACCACCUUCCAGCGCGCACUCACCACCAUGCAGAUCCAGGUCGCGGGGCUGCUGCAGUUUGCCGUGCCCCUCUUCUCCACUGCAGAGGAAGACCUGCUUGCAAUCCAGCUCCUGCUGAACUCCUCAGAGUCCAGCCUUCACCAGCUGACCGCCAUGGUGGACUGCCGAGGGCUGCACAAGGAUUAUCUGGACGCUCUUGCUGGCAUCUGCUACGACGGCCUCCAGGGCUUGCUGUACCUUGGCCUCUUCUCCUUCCUGGCCGCCCUCGCCUUCUCCACCAUGAUCUGUGCGGGACCAAGGGCCUGGAAGCACUUCACCACCAGAAACAGAGACUACGACGACAUUGAUGAUGAUGACCCCUUUAACCCCCAAGCCUGGCGCAUGGCGGCCCACAAUCCCCCGAGGGGACAGCUUCACAGCUUCUGCAGCUACAGCAGUGGCCUGGGAAGUCAGACCAGCCUGCAGCCCCCGGCCCAGACCAUCUCCAAC